ACUUGGCUUUUUUCUGCUUCCAGACCUGAGCUAGCUCCUCCUCUUCCUCCUCCUCAUGGCUCCCAUUUCUGUAGCCUCUGACAGAUUACAAAGCCUCUCUUCAUAACAAUUCUGAGAUUAAGGUAGCCCAAGGAACUCCAUUUCACAGGUGAAAAAACUGAUUCAGAUUGGUGAAAAAGAUUUGUCCCAGAUCCCAACAGGAGAGCCAAGCAAAGGUCCAGGUGGACCAGUGGCCCAUUAUGUUGUCCCCAGGCUAAAUGUGAGCUAGCCUUUGUCAUAAGGUUGGCUCCUUUUUGACCUCCAGUCAUGCCAGGCUGCUGACGGUGGAGAAUCUCCCUGGGCUCUCAAGGAAUCCAGACUGAGCAAUUUCCCAAGGGCAGAGACUGUUCACUUUUGUCUUUAGAUGGGAUGGGCGUCUUCCAUGCCUAGCACACAGCCCACUUAAUAAACGCUUAAUUGAUUGUUCUUUUCA
rnacentral:lncRNA from 1 species